CAGGGACAAAGAACGGCUGAGGAGUACUGUGCUGAUUUUCGAAAAUGGUGUACAGUAUCUGGUUGGAAUGAUCCAGCAAUUAGGUGUCAGUUCAGACUAGGAUUAUCUGAUGCUAUUAAGGAUAUCCUUGUAAGCUAUCCAUCACCUGACUCCUUAGAACAGACCAUGACUUUAGCGGUACAACAUGACAGACAUUUAAGAGAGAGAAGACGUGAACGGUCCGCUUCUUCUGUUUCUCAUUCUCAUUCCUCCAUGUUGUCUUCUUUACCUAUCUCUCAUAUAUUUUCUGAGGAACCCAUGCAGAUAGGGAAAUUGUCCCAGGAGAGAAAAUCUAUCCGGAAGAAAGACAACUUUUGCUUCUUUUGUGGAGAGAUGGGACAUCGAAUACAGAAUUGCUCCAAACGUCAGCAGCCGGGAUACACCAGCACCUAAAUGAUAAUCGAGGAAAUCAUUUAGGCACACAGGAUAACCUCUGCAAACCAACCGGGACUCAAUAUCAUGUGCCUCCUUAUUAAAUAUGUCUAUAGUGGAACAAUUACGGCGAGCCCUUACCAUCUCACCCACUGGGAGUGCAGAUUGCAAUACGUUGGUUGUACCACAAAUAAAUGAAAAGUUAGGACCCGCAAUUAUUUAUCGGACAUUCCACAUGUUUGUUCACGCAAUAUUUCCAUGGUCACACAGCAUUGUGCACAAAAACAUGAAGGCAGCUACUCUACUUUGAUGUUACAGGGAAUUGAAAGGGUUACUCCACCUACUAGAGGUCGUAACUACAAACAGAAAAUGUUGAACCAAGAAGUAUUUUGGAUAAUUGAACUUGGUACCUGUGUGAACCUGAGGAGUUGUUUGCGAUUUCUUCCAUAUUGUUCUACAAGCUGGAGCACACAAAACUGCCCUGGGAAUCAGGACGGAGAUAGAAUGGCGUCUCUGCACCAGGAACAACCACCACUACAUGGUCAUGUAUGGACUUUAAACUGGAGUCACAUUUUUGUUUGUUCUGAGUUUAACAUCUGAUGUUAAGCCUUCUGCUGAACUGUUAUGUUCCUGCUGGUUUGUUUUUAAUAAACCCUUUUGUUUUUGCACCAACAUCCUGCUUGUUUGCCUACCAUUUGUACAUCUAAUUCCCACAAUAGCUAUAUACCCA